GCUGUAGGCAGAUCAAUGGGAGGGAUUUACCCAGGCCAAUCAGCUACAAGGAUUGGCUGUGACCAGUGACCACUAACCUCUACCCUCCAUGGAGGAUCAACUGUGCAGGGGCAGGGUGGUGGGGCUCUGAAGUGGUCUGUAGUUGCUACUGGGUGCACUGGCCCUAGGAUGAGUCCAUGUGUGGGUUCUUUAAAAGGAACUGCUUGGGGUUCCACCAGUUUCUUCCACCAACUCAAUCCCCACUGAUUUUUGCAGCCGGAAGUUGUAGGAACUUACCUUCCUGUCACUGGAACCCUGGGGUGGGGGGCCUGGUUGGGGCUGGGACUCCUUGCUCCUGAGAUA